rnacentral:rRNA from 1 species
AUGAACGCUAGCUACAGGCUUAACACAUGCAAGUCGAGGGGCAUCAGGAAGAAAGCUUGCUUUCUUUGCUGGCGACCGGCGCACGGGUGAGUAACACGUAUCCAACCUGCCCUUUACUCGGGGAUAGCCUUUCGAAAGAAAGAUUAAUACCCGAUGGCAUAAUGAUUCCGCAUGGUUUCAUUAUUAAAGGAUUCCGGUAAAGGAUGGGGAUGCGUUCCAUUAGGUUGUUGGUGAGGUAACGGCUCACCAAGCCUUCGAUGGAUAGGGGUUCUGAGAGGAAGGUCCCCCACAUUGGAACUGAGACACGGUCCAAACUCCUACGGGAGGCAGCAGUGAGGAAUAUUGGUCAAUGGGCGCUAGCCUGAACCAGCCAAGUAGCGUGAAGGAUGAAGGCUCUAUGGGUCGUAAACUUCUUUUAUAUAAGAAUAAAGUGCAGUAUGUAUACUGUUUUGUAUGUAUUAUAUGAAUAAGGAUCGGCUAACUCCGUGCCAGCAGCCGCGGUAAUACGGAGGAUCCGAGCGUUAUCCGGAUUUAUUGGGUUUAAAGGGAGCGUAGGUGGACUGGUAAGUCAGUUGUGAAAGUUUGCGGCUCAACCGUAAAAUUGCAGUUGAUACUGUCAGUCUUGAGUACAGUAGAGGUGGGCGGAAUUCGUGGUGUAGCGGUGAAAUGCUUAGAUAUCACGAAGAACUCCGAUUGCGAAGGCAGCUCACUGGACUGCAACUGACACUGAUGCUCGAAAGUGUGGGUAUCAAACAGGAUUAGAUACCCUGGUAGUCCACACAGUAAACGAUGAAUACUCGCUGUUUGCGAUAUACAGUAAGCGGCCAAGCGAAAGCAUUAAGUAUUCCACCUGGGGAGUACGCCGGCAACGGUGAAACUCAAAGGAAUUGACGGGGGCCCGCACAAGCGGAGGAACAUGUGGUUUAAUUCGAUGAUACGCGAGGAACCUUACCCGGGCUUAAAUUGCAGUGGAAUGAUGUGGAAACAUAUCAGUGAGCAAUCACCGCUGUGAAGGUGCUGCAUGGUUGUCGUCAGCUCGUGCCGUGAGGUGUCGGCUUAAGUGCCAUAACGAGCGCAACCCUUAUCUUUAGUUACUAACAGGUUAUGCUGAGGACUCUAGAGAGACUGCCGUCGUAAGAUGUGAGGAAGGUGGGGAUGACGUCAAAUCAGCACGGCCCUUACGUCCGGGGCUACACACGUGUUACAAUGGGGGGUACAGAAGGCAGCUAGCGGGUGACCGUAUGCUAAUCCCAAAAGCCUCUCUCAGUUCGGAUCGAAGUCUGCAACCCGACUUCGUGAAGCUGGAUUCGCUAGUAAUCGCGCAUCAGCCACGGCGCGGUGAAUACGUUCCCGGGCCUUGUACACACCGCCCGUCAAGCCAUGGGAGCCGGGGGUACCUGAAGUACGUAACCGCAAGGAUCGUCCUAGGGUAAAACUGGU